rnacentral:rRNA from 1 species
UACGUAGGGGGCUAGCGUUGUCCGGAAUCAUUGGGCGUAAAGCGCGUGUAGGCGGUCCGGUAAGUCCGCUGUGAAAGUCGGGGGCUCAACCCUCGAAUGCCGGUGGAUACUGUCGGGCUAGAGUCCGGAAGAGGAGAGUGGAAUUCCUGGUGUAGCGGUGAAAUGCGCAGAUAUCAGGAAGAACACCCGUGGCGAAGGCGGCAUCUCUGGGACGGUACUGACGCUGAGACGCGAAAGCGUGGGGAGCGAACAGG